rnacentral:rRNA from 1 species
GACGAACCGAGCGAACGUUGUUCGGAAUCACUGGGCUUAAAGGGCGCGUAGGCGGGCUGUCAAGUCUGGGGUGAAAUCCCGCGGCUCAACCGUGGAACUGCCUCAGAUACUGACGGUCUCGAGGGAGGUAGGGGCGAGCGGAACUGAUGGUGGAGCGGUGAAAUGCGUUGAUAUCAUCAGGAACUCCGGUGGCGAAGGCGGCUCGCUGGACCUUUUUUGACGCUGAGGCGCGAAAGCUAGGGGAGCAAACGGG